rnacentral:rRNA from 1 species
UAAGGAAUAUUGCUCAAUGGGAGAAAUCCUGAAGCAGCAACGCCGCGUGGAGGAUGAAGGGUCUAUGACUUGUAAACUCCUGUAAAGAAGGAAAAAAUUCCCAUUUGAUGGGAGAUGAUGGUACUUCUGGAGUAAGCCCCGGCUAACUACGUGCCAGCAGCCGCGGUAAUACGUAGGGGGCAAGCGUUGUCCGGAUUUACUGGGUGUAAAGGGUGCUCAGGCGGAUUUGUAAGUCAGAGGUGAAAUCUUACAGCUUAACUGUGAAACUGCCUUUGAUACGGCAAGCCUAGAGUAUGGAAGAGAGUGAUGGAAUAUCUGGUGUAGCAGUGAAAUGCGUAGAUAUCAGAUAGAACACCAAUGGCGAAGGCAGUCACUUGAUCCAUUACUGACGCUAAAGCACGAAAGCGUGGGUAGCAAACA